UCGGCCUAUAAAUCUCCAACUGAUUUUUGUGCCUUCGAUUACAGUAGAUGAAUUGAAGUCUGUGACAGAUAGUUUUGGUACGAAGUCUUUCCUUGGUGAAGGUGCGUAUGGGAAAGUAUAUCACGCCAUGUUGAAAACGGGACGUGGAGUUGCGAUUAAAAAGUUGGACUCAAGUAAACAGCCAGACCAAGAAUUUCUUUCUCAGGCUAAAGCAUGAAAAUGUUGUCGAGCUUCUUACUUACUGUGUUGACGGCCCUUUUCGUGCCCUUGCUUAUGAGUAUGCUCCAAAUGGAUCCCUUGACAUUCUACAUGAUAUGCAAUGACUGGAAACCUCUCUUUAAAGAGUGAUGUUUACAGUUUUGGAGUCAUACUGUUGGAACUCUUAACCGGGCGUAAACCUGUUGAUCAUACACUUCCCCGUGGAUAGCAAAGCCUUGUGACAUGGGCAGCACCAAGGCUUAGUGAAGAUAAGGUGAAGCAGUGUGUUGAUGUUAGACUAAAAGGAGAGUACCCUUCCAAAGCAGUUGCAAAGAUGGCUGAUGUUGGUGCAUUGUGUGUUAUUAUCCGAUAAGGAAGCCGCUGUAUGAUCAGCGCAAUGAUCUUAUCAAGUCUAUUCCUGAUUUCUGGUUAACUGCGGUCAACAAUGUUGGAAUGGGAGCAAAUGUGGAUGGUGAGGCUUUGGCUGCUCUUGGUGUUGUGGUAUAUCCUAAUCAAAUUGAUUGGACUAAAAUAUUUUAUGAAAACUAUGAGAAACAUCCUUCUUUUAGUAUAAAUGCUAUUUCUCCGGGUUAUAUCAAAACAGAUAUGAAUGGUGGUAAUGGUGCUUUGACAUCUAUAAUAUGUUCAUUUUCCAAUAUGUUCACAUUUCAUACUAGGUGUUGUAUCUUUUAGGGAAUCCGGCUUUAGAAUAAAUUUUAAGGAACCCGGCUUUGAUUAGCAGUAGAAAAUGAGGUGAUAUUUCCUAUCACAGUUUUUUAUUUAUUAUGUAUUUUAGAAUAGACUCAAGCACAUUGAAUGUUUAUUUAAUUCCAAUUAGUAUUUUCCUUUCAUUUACACAUCUUGCUAUCAUGAUUAAAGUAAUUUUUUUCUUAAUUAAGAAUAUUAAACUGAUUAAUGACAAAAAUAAGAAAACUAAGGGAAUAAACUGUGGCAAGAUUAAUGGUUUAGAAUGCAUAACAUAUAACCACGGUUUUAAAUCUGUGGUCAUAACCAAACCGUACCGUGGUUAUAUCUUAAACCAAAACUGUAUCGUAAACGUUAAAAUGAAACCGUGGCUUUACCAUAUAGCCACAGUUUUUAAGUCAUGGCAAGUUCAAACCGCGGCCUUAAUCAAGCUACCUAAACCGUGGCCUAAAAAAGCCACGGUUGUAAAAAAGGCGUGGUCUAUACCAAAAAACCGUGGACUUUACUUUAGGCCACGGCCGUAUACUCCACAGUUGGAUUUCCGUGGCCAAACCGUGGCCUAAGCGUUACGCCACGGUUAUUUUGCAUAUAGCCUCGGUUUUCUGGGCGUGGCAGGAGGCCUUUUUUCUUGUAGUGGUGGUUAAAUUAUAUGAUGAUUAGAAAUAAUUAUUUUAAUUAAAUAAUUUAGUUGAAAUUAUUUAGAUUUAAAAAUAAUUAUCUAGAAAUUUAUUGAUAAUUUAAAUUGGAUGAAUUGAGUAGAAAGAAUGAGGACAAUGUGGUCUUUACAUGAGAAUUAUUAAGGGUAAGGAAGGAAGAUCAUAAUAGGGAUCUAAGGGUUAUUUGAGUAAAAAAAUAAAGAGAGAAAUUGUAUCAUUUGGAACGAUUGCUCAGAGAGAGAAGUAGAAGUGAAGAAGUGAGAAAGAAGGCUAGGACUUGGAAGAAUCCAUUAUUGGAGGCUUAGGAACCGUCAAUCUAAGGUAAGGGUAGGAUUCCAACUUUCUAAGGGAUUGUAUAAUGUUAGGUAUGUGGGGUUUGAUUGCCAUGGUUGUAUAAUUUUGUUCAUGAAAUUGCUUUGUGAAUGUAUGAACCUAAAUGAUGAAUUGUUGACAUAUUUGUGGUUGAAUUGAUGAAUUUUUUUUGUAAAGUGUGUAGAAAUAUCGUAUAACAUGUGUAUGUAAUUGUUGAAAUUUCAAAAUAUGAUUUUUUGUUGCAAUUUGGGAAUUUGGGUUUAAGGAGAAGGUUUUCCUAUUUGAAAAAUAGCAGAUUUUUUGUUUUGGUUCAGAUGUAACCGAUUACCAAUAUCAGGGUAACCGGUUACCCUAUGUGAAAUUGGCACAUGGAGACCUUUUUCAAGAGUGUAACCGGUUACCGGUCUGGAGGUGACCGGUUACCAUACAAAACAGAAGCGCAAUAUUUUUGGAUUACAAAUAUAACUUGUAACUGGUUACUAAUAUGAGGGUAACUGGUUACCCAAUGUGAAAUUGGCGCAGGAAGACCGUUUUUCAGGAGUGUAACCGAUCUGGAGGUAACAGGUUACCAUACAAAAUGGAAGCACAAUAUUUUUGGAUUGUAGGGGUAUGGGUAACCGGUUACCACUGUGUUGAACUUAGAUUUUUCUAAAUUUUAAAAAUUUCUUAAUUUUUUACUCGGGUGUCUGUUUGACGCGCCGUUUGAACCUACAGGAAGUUAAUAACAUUUUCUAUAAAAAUAAUUUCGAACAAAGUGGAUGAUUAUUUAUGGGGAACUGACACUUUUCCACGAAGAUUUUAUCUGUUGUGCUGAGGUGUGUGUAUGUUGUUAUGUGUGAUGAUGCUAUAUACUUUUGUUGGGUUAUAUAAAAUUGUAUUUUAAGUGUAUGGAUAACAGGUGACCUGUAUUGGCGUGUCGCAUUUAUGGAUGUAGAUAUCAAUGUGUGGUGUUUUGUUGCAUGGUUGUGUCGCAUGCAUUUUGUGCUAUGCAUUUUAGUUUAGCCCCUCCGGUUCUAGAUGGCGUGGAUCGGGAGCAAUGUGAAUCAUAUUAUUCGUGAUGUUGUUUGGUUCUGAUCCUAGAUGGCGUGGAUCGGGAGUGAGGUGAACCAAAAUGUUCACGAUUGGUGGCUCUGGUCUUAGAUGACGUGGAUUCGGGAGCGAUAUUGGUACCACAUGCAUCGAGUCUGUGAGUCGGUCUCAUUGCAUUUCAUUGUUAUUGACAUUAAUAAAUAAGUUGUGUGAUUGAUGUGUGAAUCAUAUGAUAAUUGUUUUGGAUGGGCUGAAUGUAUGAGAUGUGGAAUGUAUGACUAUGCAUGAUUAUACUGCUAUAUAUGUAUUAUUAUACAUUCUCUUAUAAUGUUGUGAUAUCUCACCCUUCUGUUGGAAUCAUGCUUUAUACAACAUCGUGCAGAUAGUCAGGAGUUGUUCUGAGGCUAGGGAGUUUGGAAGAGGUUGCUCUUUAUUUUGUUUCGAGUUGGUAUCAUUGCUCUGAUACGUAACAUCGGGGGAAUGAACGCUUAGUUAUUUUGCUGUUUUUGAUGAUUUUUUGGAGUCUUAUGAAAUUCUUGUUAUUUGAAUAAAUAUCAUUUUGUUUGUUGGAUACAAAUGGUUUUAACAAUAAUUAUAAUUCUUUUUUCGCUGCGUAAAAAAAGUAAAAUUGAGGACAAUGAAGUUUGUUUUGGUUCAUCCUUAAUUCGUGUUAUGUAUCUAUAAAUAUUUUGAGCAGGUUUAUUAUGUUUUGAAAAUGUGGUACCCUAAUUGCAUGUUUAUUAUUUUGAAAAAUUUAUUCUGAUUUUAAAUUACUAAUCGCAUAGAAAUUAUGAUGUUAUAGGAGGUAUCAUAUCAAAGUAUGUAAUGCUACAACUCAAAUUGGUAUGGAAGAUAUUUAAGCUAAGCCUCAUAAAGCUAUAGUUACAUGCCACUAUGUUUUUGGUUGAUUUUAAUUCUUUGUCAAGAAAAAUAUCAAUGUUACUAAUCUAACUUGCAGCCAUAUAAAGAUUGGGGGAGUGAUUAAUGUCAUGAGAUUAAGGGUUUAAGAUUUCAUGAGUUUAAUGAUGUAUUUUUAACUAUAUAUUUACCCAAGCAUGUGAGUGUUUUGGUUGGUUGGCUAGUGUUUAACCUUGUAUUCCUUCAUUUUUAUCCCUCAUUGUAUGUUUUAAAGGUGUUGCUAUGUUGCCAACAUUCAUUUGUUAUGUAUUUGUUGGAUAUUCAAAAACUACUUGUCUGAUGAAGCUGUUUAGUGCAUUUUGUUGUAUGUCUUUGAAUUGGUUGGGAGAGACCAGGUACUGUUAGUUUCUCUCAAUUAGCUUUUCUAUUUCAGCAACAAAUUUUCUUUCUUGUAACUUCUCAUUCUUCAUCUAUCCAUACACACUGGAUGCAUCACAUAUCUAAUAUUGGUAGAGCACCUGGUAGUAAUCCAUCAGUGCUAUUAAGAUAGAUGAAUCACCAACACUAGAUGACCUAACACCAUUAUCAAUACCGUCAGACCCAAGUUUGGCAACGGAAAGGAAAAAAAGGAUAGUGAAAAUAAAGCAAUAGAUUGGCGUUGAUUUAUGUAAUGCAAUGACUCGAAUUGAUAUGGAAGAUACUUAAGCUAAGCCUCAUAAAAUUAUAGUUGCAACCUACUAAGUUAAGUUAUGGGUUGAUUUUAAUUGGGUAACGAAACCUAAACUGCCUUGUAUAAGUAAUCUAGCAGCGCAACAAGUGUUUUUACUACCUGUGGUCAAAACAAUUUAUCGUAUUACUUUCCAUAGAUAUAAAAUGCUGCAUUCAUAUUUCGCUGAGAUAAUGUAGAUAUGUCUUGGCUGAGUCGAAAUGCCUUGGUGCCUUUAAUUUCUUCAAUUUUAGAUUGAAGACAGACAUCUCUUUCCCUUUUAAAGUAUUCAUAAUUAUAAUAUUCCUUCAUUUUGAAACUUUAUUUUACUAUGAUUAUGUUUUGUUUUAAAAUGACGAUAGUAACAAGAUGCUUUGAGGGUUAGACAUCCAAGAGAAUGUGGUUAUUGGGCAUUCUUGUAGAUUUCUGAGUGAUUACUGAUUUUCAUUAUAAUUGUGUAGAACAAUAUAGGGAUCAACAUCAAAUUAUAGGUGUGAGACAGCAGAUGUAUAAUUAUAAAUAUUAUCGAGUAAAUAAGUAUAAAUAUUAUUUAGUAAAUAAGUAUGAAUUAUUUGGUAACUGCUAUUUCAGUAAUCAAAUUUUAAGUAAUGCAGUUGCAGGCUACUGAGCAUAAAUUCAACCUCAUGUAAUCAUAUUUAUUCCUUAAAUCUGGCAAUGGUUACGGUUAGUUUUGGUACCUUGGGCAUGUUCUAUUUUAGAAUGAUGACAAUAAUUUAAGUGAUUUUGUAAUCUUGCAUGUUAGUGUUGGUAGUAUGACUUAUUUUAAUCUUUGAAGAGAUUGAAUUAUGCAUAAUCUUGUGGAGCAAGAAUUUGAUCAAUGAGUUGGUGAGAAGGAAUUAGAUCACCAACAGAUGCGAGAGAAUCAACCAGAACUUUAAUUCAAGAAAGAUAAGCUUCAGACACUACAAUUAAAUAAUGUAAUGAAAAUGCAUUUUAGCAUGCAGUUUGCUUACACAGGCACGAGUGAGCUUUUGGAAAUGAUCAUUAAUAUGUGUCCAUACUUGCGAAGUAUGAACACAACUUAAGAUACAAGGCAUGACUGAGCUCGAGAUGGUAGAUUGAAGCCAUGAAAGAAGCCAUUGAUCUUGUUGAGUCCAAGAGCGCAAGGGAGUGUCAGUGAUUAGAUUGGUGAUGUACCAGUCGGGAAUUGAAACUUAUAGGUAAUUGAAAUUAAUGUUCCAUUUGGCAUAGCUCUCUAGAGGCUGUGCAACCCUCCCACGUAUAAGUUUGUCUGAUUGGUCGGCCAUAAUGUCUUCAUUGUAUUACAAAUAAAAUCGAACUAGAUAUAAUUUAGCUAU